CCUACGGGUGACAGCAGUGAGGAAUAUUGGUCAAUGGACGAGAGUCUGAACCAGCCAAGUAGCGUGAAGGAUGACUGCCCUAUGGGUUGUAAACUUCUUUUAUAUGGGAAUAAAAUGUUCCACGUGUGGGAUUUUGUAUGUACCAUAUGAAUAAGGAUCGGCUAACUCCGUGCCAGCAGCCGCGGUAAUACGGAGGAUCCGAGCGUUAUCCGGAUUUAUUGGGUUUAAAGGGAGCGUAGGUGGAUUGUUAAGUCAGUUGUGAAAGUUUGCGGCUCAACCGUAAAAUUGCAGUUGAAACUGGCAGUCUUGAGUACAGUAGCGGUGGGCGGAAUGCGUGGUGUAGCGGUGAAAUGCUUAGAUAUCACGAAGAACUCCGAUUGCGAAGGCAGCUCACUGAACUGCAACUGACACUGAGGCUCGAAAGUGUGGGUAGCAAACAGGAUUAGAUACCCCUGUAGUC
rnacentral:rRNA from 1 species